AAAGAAUGAAAGUCCAUAGGAGUAGCACACUCACUAAGGAGAUAGAGACUCUGUGGAAAAUAGGGUAAAAAUGUGUGAGCAGGUCACGACUUGAAAACUUGCUGGGAGACACGAAGGGAUUCCAUGAAAUAAAUCAAUGGAAAGACUCGAGCUGGCGCAAAGAUGCAUAUAUUAGGGAAUAUGCCAAUACAGAAAAACUAUCCACAAAGGAUACCUCGGAU
rnacentral:lncRNA from 1 species